rnacentral:rRNA from 1 species
UACGAAGGGGGCUAGCGUUGUUCGGAAUUACUGGGCGUAAAGCGCACGUAGGCGGAUUGUUAAGUCGGGGGUGAAAUCCCAGGGCUCAACCCUGGAACUGCCUCCGAUACUGGCAUUCUCGAGUCCGGGAGAGGUGAGUGGAAUUCCGAGUGUAGAGGUGAAAUUCGUAGAUAUUCGGAAGAACACCAGUGGCGAAGGCGGCUCUCUGGUCCGGUACUGACGCUGAGGUGCGAAAGCGUGGGGAGCAAACAGG